rnacentral:lncRNA from 1 species
GGCCGCUAGUUAUCCUCAAAUGUCAAAACCCUAAAUCGAACAUAUCACAGGGCACAGAUUAAACCUUACUCGAUUCGCUAUAAAUUGCUGUCGUUUCCUCCAUGAAUCCUCAUGGUUGCAGCUCUUCUUUGUACAAAGAUCACAUCAUCUCGUUGGUUGCAAUUUAUAAAGAUUCGUGAGCUCUCUUCUCAGUUUUUUUUUAAUCUAUUGCAAUUAUAAUUUCCAAAUUCAAAUCGUUUUUGGCUGAAUAUGAUGAGAGUUAUUGUCGCCCCAGUCUUACGAGCUUCGUACAACUACGUCGCUCGAUGCUGAUAGACAUAUUCAUAAUCUGAUUUUUCAAAUUGUGCGUCUUUUCAAUCUUCGAUUUUCAGAAUCGGAACAUAAAAUAAUUUCAGAAACGUCUUUGAAUAUUUUUUUUUUAUUUUCCAUACUAAAUCUGAGAUUUUUUUUCUGAAUAUGAUGAGAGUUAUUGUCGCCCCAGUCUUACGAGCCUUGUAUCAUUGCAUUGCUCAAUGGUGAUAGACAUAUUCAUAAUCUGAUUCAUGCUGCUCCAAUUAUACAUAAUAGAUUUCAAAAUGUUAUUCAAAGUUCAUAAUUUUUUUAGUUGUAAUGAUAUUAUUUGGAGAUGAUGUGGUUAGCUAAUUGAUUGACGUGAUGAUUUAUUUACCCAUUUUGUCUGUAAUAUCAAAUGAUGAUAUAUAAUAUACAUGCAUCACCAUCUGAUCUCUCUUUUGCAACCACUCAUCAAAUCCCCAAUAAUUUUUUUUGUCAAAUCAUUCAUUUAUUCAUACUUGUUUCGAAAACGAAGCUGUUGUAAUCAAUGAUGUAAAUUAUUAUUUUUUACACUGAUGUUUAUCUGUGAUUAACUUAAAUUGAUCACCAUCUUUCGGCUGAGAUUAUGCAACAGUUUUUUUUGUUAUUUUUUUUAUUUCAAUCUUUUUGUGAAUUCAAUGCCCAUGGUAUCUAAUGCUUUUACCUAAUUAAUGUAUAAUGCAUCUCGUUUGACGGGCAGAUAGUGAUGAAAACAGACUUUGCGACACAGUUUGCUGUUAGUUUUUAAAAGCUUACUGUUACUGUUUAAUGCUGUUCACACUUUUUAUAUUUUUCCAGUAGAUACACAAUAUAUUUUUUUUGAAUUUUAUAGCAAUGUAAAAAGAGAAACAAGUAAAAUUAAAUGUAGUUGUCAUUGAUUUUGCAAAAGGCGAACACAUCUUCAUUCUUUCAUUCAUUUUUUUAACAUGGUAUCAACAAAAUAUUUAUUUUGAUUCCACCAACAUAAUCAAACUAAACUUGUGUAAUGAGAAAAAGCAGGCGAAUCCAAUUUGUAAAGGCAAGCUGAAAGGUUGAUGAAAACAUUUUAGAUUAUGAGAAGCAAUACAAUCUUUGCAAUAAGUUAAUUUAUUACUCUUAAUAUAUUAUAUAAGGAUAUGUGAACGAAAACAACUACAAGGAACACAUAUUUGAAAGAAUCAACUUAAUCUGAUUUCAUAUGAGAGAAAACUAAAAGAUUCAAAAUUUGUUUGGCUAUCUAUCUUCUUCACAUCUUUCUUCAGUCUGGAUUAUAUGUUAGACUCGAGAAUCAAGUGAACAUGGGAACUUCGAGAUCAUAUGAAAGAGCUCUGAGGUUUUAAAGUUGACCGAAAUUGAUAUAUGGUUGAUGUCAAAGGUUUGGCUUUUGAGAAAAUUGGGAUUUUUAGAUAUAUUGAAUAUUGGAUAAAUUUAACUUGGAAUAAGUUAUUGAUACUUGAAUAAUGAGAUAGAGGGUUUGGUAUUUCAUCUCUAAACAACUUAUUGAGUAAAUAAAAAAAAGUAAAAAAAAAAUGUUUGAUAAAAAGAAAAUGUCUUUUAAAACAACUUUUUCUUAAUCUUUCAAAAAGAAAUUUUCAAAAAGUUUCAAUAUGUAAUUUUUUUGAACAUUUUUUGAGUCCUAAAAGUAAAACAUUAUCUUAAAAUAAUUUUAAGCCAAGAAAAACAUAUUUUUAAAUAGGGAUAAUGACUUAAAAGGAUAAUUGAUUUGUUUACAUUAAAUAGUCAUUGAGUUUUUUUUGUUUAUAUUUACCUCUUCAACUUGUUAAACUUUAUAUAUUUAGUGAUUACGACCGGCUAUUCCAGUUUAGCCGGUAAAAAUGGCUUAAUAGGGUAAUAUAUUUGUACAUAUUUAGUCUUUACUACAUAUUUAGUCCUUAAUAUUUUUUUAUUGCAAAAUACAUUUUUGUUUUUUAUUCAUCCAGUAUUUAUGAAUUAUUUCUUUAGGUUUUUCUCAUGACAUCUUAUGUGGGAUAGUCAUAUGUUGUAAGCCAAGAUACCUGGUGCGGACCGGCUAUAAGUUGUAGGCACGAAGACUCAAGAAGAGUGGUUGGAUUAAGGUGUCAUGCCAACAAACCCUAAGUAUUCCAGUCUGAUAACUAAUUGGACCUGUUGUAUGUUGCAUUCCAAUUCGAUGACUGAUUGGGCCAAUGUAUACCAAUCUAAUGAGUGUGGGUAUGUUAUGCAUGAUAAUACGUUUGUUGUGUUGGGUAUUUUGGGGGAAACUCACUAAACUCUGUGCUUACCCAUUUGUUUAUAUUUUCAGGUUCUAUCGUUGGUCGUGGGAAGGCGAAUACAUGACUAUACACACUCAUCAACAUUAUUGAGGAUUACAUAUUUCUUAUAUUACUCUGAUUUUCGAUAAAUGUAUUUUAGAAUAAACGUUUUUUUUCUUAAUAAUGGAUUUAUAAUUUGGGAGUUUUGCCUUAUUUAAAAAUGAAAUUUUUUGGUUGUGAAAAUGAGACAUUACAUAUAAACAUCAACAGCCUCACACACUUUAUCAAUAAUUGUCCCACGUAAGAUGUCAUGAGAAAAAUCUAAAGAAAACAUUUAUAAGUAUUGAAUGUGUACAAAAACAAAAAUAAUUUAUUUUGAAACAAAAAAAUAUUAAGGAUUAAGUAUGUACAAAAACAUUAAGGACUAAAUGUGUACAAAAUAAAAAAUAUAUUACCCUAUUAAAUCAUUAUUCCCAUACUAACCGGUCAUAACGACUAAAUGUGUACAGUUCAACAAGUUAAAGAGUAAAUAUGGACCAAAAAAAAACUCAGUGAUCAAAUGUGUACAAAUCGAAAAACAUAUUACCCUUUUAAGUCAUUAUUCCUUUUAAAAACAAC